AUUGAACGCUAGCGGCAUGCCUUACACAUGCAAGUCGAACGGCAGCGGGGGAGCUUGCUCCCGCCGGCGAGUGGCGAACGGGUGAGUAAUACAUCGGAACGUACCCAGUAGCGGGGGAUAGCCCGGCGAAAGCCGGAUUAAUACCGCAUACGCCCUACGGGGGAAAGGGGGGGAUCGCAAGACCUCUCAUUAUUGGAGCGGCCGAUGAGUGAUUAGCUAGUUGGUGGGGUAAAGGCCUACCAAGGCGACGAUCAGUAGCUGGUCUGAGAGGACGACCAGCCACACGGGGACUGAGACACGGCCCAGACUCCUACGGGAGGCAGCAGUGGGGAAUUUUGGACAAUGGGCGAAAGCCUGAUCCAGCAAUGCCGCGUGUGCGAAGAAGGCCUUCGGGUUGUAAAGCACUUUUGUCAGGGAUGAAAUCGUUUGGGUUAAUACCCCGAGCAGUUGACGGUACCUGAAGAAUAAGCACCGGCUAACUACGUGCCAGCCGCCGCAGUAA
rnacentral:rRNA from 1 species